rnacentral:rRNA from 1 species
GACGAACGCUGGCGGCGUGCUUAACACAUGCAAGUCGAGCGGUAAGGCCCUUUCGGGGGGUACACGAGCGGCGAACGGGUGAGUAACACGUGGGUGACCUGCCCUCAGCUCUGGGAUAAGCCUGGGAAACCGGGUCUAAUACUGGAUAUGACUCCAUGACGCAUGUUGUGGGGUGGAAAGCCUUGUGCGGCUGAGGAUGGGCCCGCGGCCUAUCAGCUUGUUGGUGGGGUGAUGGCCUACCAAGGCGACGACGGGUAGCCGGCCUGAGAGGGCGACCGGCCACACUGGGACUGAGACACGGCCCAGACUCCGUACGGGAGGCAGCGAGGUGGGGAAUCUUGCGCAAUGGGACGAAAGCCUGACGCAGCGACGCCGCGUGAGGGAUGACGG